UACGAGGGGGGCGAGCGUUGUUCGGAAUUAUUGGGCGUAAAGGGUGCGUAGGCGGUUUGGUAAGUCUUAUGUGAAAUCUACAGGCUCAACUUGUAGUCUGCAUGAGAAACUGCCGGGCUUGAGUAUGGGAGAGGUGAGUGGAAUUCCUGGUGUAGCGGUGAAAUGCGUAGAUAUCAGGAGGAACACCUGUGGCGAAGGCAGAUCUCUGGGCCGUUACUGACGCUGAGGAGCGAAAGCGUGGGGAGCGAACAGG
rnacentral:rRNA from 1 species